rnacentral:rRNA from 1 species
AGAGUUUGAUCCUGGCUCAGGACGAACGCUGGCGGCGUGCCUAAUACAUGCAAGUAGAACGCUGAAGAGAGGAGCUUGCUCUUCUUGGAUGAGUUGCGAACGGGUGAGUAACGCGUAGGUAACCUGCCUUGUAGCGGGGGAUAACUAUUGGAAACGAUAGCUAAUACCGCAUAACAAUGGAUGACACAUGUCAUUUAUUUGAAAGGGGCAAUUGUUCCACUACAAGAUGGACCUGCGUUGUAUUAGCUAGUAGGUGAGGUAAUGGCUCACCUAGGCGACGAUACAUAGCCGACCUGAGAGGGUGAUCGGCCACACUGGGACUGAGACACGGCCCAGACUCCUACGGGAGGCAGCAGUAGGGAAUCUUCGGCAAUGGGGGCAACCCUGACCGAGCAACGCCGCGUGAGUGAAGAAGGUUUUCGGAUCGUAAAGCUCUGUUGUAAGUCAAGAACGGGUGUGAGAGUGGAAAGUUCACACUGUGACGGUAGCUUACCAGAAAGGGACGGCUAACUACGUGCCAGCAGCCGCGGUAAUACGUAGGUCCCGAGCGUUGUCCGGAUUUAUUGGGCGUAAAGCGAGCGCAGGCGGUUUGAUAAGUCUGAAGUUAAAGGCUGUGGCUCAACCAUAGUUCGCUUUGGAAACUGUCAAACUUGAGUGCAGAAGGGGAGAGUGGAAUUCCAUGUGUAGCGGUGAAAUGCGUAGAUAUAUGGAGGAACACCGGUGGCGAAAGCGGCUCUCUGGUCUGUAACUGACGCUGAGGCUCGAAAGCGUGGGGAGCGAACAGGAUUAGAUACCCUGGUAGUCCACGCCGUAAACGAUGAGUGCUAGGUGUUGGAUCCUUUCCGGGAUUCAGUGCCGCAGCUAACGCAUUAAGCACUCCGCAUGGGGAGUACGACCGCAAGGUUGAAACUCAAAGGAAUUGACGGGGGCCCGCACAAGCGGUGGAGCAUGUGGUUUAAUUCGAAGCAACGCGAAGAACCUUACCAGGUCUUGACAUCCCGAUGCUAUUUCUAGAGAUAGAAAGUUACUUCGGUACAUCGGUGACAGGUGGUGCAUGGUUGUCGUCAGCUCGUGUCGUGAGAUGUUGGGUUAAGUCCCGCAACGAGCGCAACCCCUAUUGUUAGUUGCCAUCAUUCAGUUGGGCACUCUAGCGAGACUGCCGGUAAUAAACCGGAGGAAGGUGGGGAUGACGUCAAAUCAUCAUGCCCCUUAUGACCUGGGCUACACACGUGCUACAAUGGUUGGUACAACGAGUUGCGAGUCGGUGACGGCGAGCUAAUCUCUUAAAGCCAAUCUCAGUUCGGAUUGUAGGCUGCAACUCGCCUACAUGAAGUCGGAAUCGCUAGUAAUCGCGGAUCAGCACGCCGCGGUGAAUACGUUCCCGGGCCUUGUACACACCGCCCGUCACACCACGAGAGUUUGUAACACCCGAAGUCGGUGAGGUAACCUUUUGGAGCCAGCCGCCUAAGGUGGGACAGAUGAUUGGGGUGAAGUCGUAACAAGGUA